rnacentral:rRNA from 1 species
GACGAACGCUGGCGGCGUGCCUAAUACAUGCAAGUCGAGCGAUGAUUAAAGAUAGCUUGCUAUUUUUAUGAAGAGCGGCGAACGGGUGAGUAGCGCGUGGGAAAUCUGCCGAGUAGCGGGGGACAACGUUGGGAAACGAACGCUAAUACCGCAUAACAAUGAGAAUCGCAUGAUUCUUAUUUGAAAGAAGCAAUUGCUUCACUACUUGAUGAUCCCUCGUUGUAUUAGCUAGUUGGUAGUGUAAAGGACUACCAAGGAGAUGAUACAUAGCCGACCUGAGAGGGUGAUCGGCCACACUGGGACUGAGACACGGCCCAGACUCCUACGGGAGGCAGCAGUAGGGAAUCUUCGGCAAUGGGGGCAACCCUGACCGAGCAACGCCGCGUGAGUGAAGAAGGUUUUCGGAUCGUAAAACUCUGUUGUUAGAGAAGAACGUUAAGUAGAGUGGAAAAUUACUUAAGUGACGGUAUCUAACCAGAAAGGGACGGCUAACUACGUGCCAGCCGCCGCGGUAA